UUCCGUCGGGAAAUUUUCUCACUCUCUCUAUUGGUCGUCUCUCUCGACGCUGCUCACCAUUCCGAGUUCGUUUCACCAAAUCGAUGACCCAAUUCUAUAUGUGUUUGUCCCAAAUCCAAUCUCCCACCAAACCCUUGCUUCGUUCCCUCGAAUCAGAGCAUUGUCAGAUAGGAAGAUGACUAAGCUUUGAUUGAUUUAGUUGUGUAGAUGAUUUGGUUCUUUAGAAAACGAAGAAGUUAUCUGAUUGAUCUGUUUCGUUUUAUUGUUUGUUGCAUGGGGAUCAGUGUUGUUGAUUUGGAUCCCAUAAGAACCAGCUUUUGCUUGGGUGAUCGUGUGCCCACUAAGUUGAAGAAAGCCAUCAUGCAAGCCCGAGAAGACAAGAAGCUGACUCAGUCCCAACUUGCUCAAAACACUGCACAUGUAGCAGGCUUAACUAUCUUUCAAACUACUCGGUUCGACAGAUCUUUCUUAUAGAGAUCUUCGUAUAGCAUAU